ACCCUAGCCGCCAGCCCACUCGCUGCCCCUCCCCCUCUCUCGCUUUCUCCCCCUCUCCAGGCGGCGACCGGGCCUCGCUCGAUUUUCCCUGCCGGCGACAACCUCUCCCGCGCGCCCUCCGCUGCUCUCCGUCAUCUCCUCCUCUCGACCCUGCCACUCCGUCGCUGCAGCACCAUGGUGGAGACUCACCGAAGCACCACCACUGCCGCCUCCAAGUACUCCUCCCUGUCCCCUUCCUCCUCCGCCGCCAAGCAGCGGCGCCCGCGCCCGCAAAGAGCGCCGGUUCGUGCGAGGAUGCGUUGGCGGCCAAGAGAGGAGGAGAUAGCUGGCGGUCACAGCGGCGGAGUGAAUCUGCCUGGAACUUGUUCGUUCUUAAUGGCAUUCUCAACAGCACUGCAUAGCCAGUGGAUCUUGCUUAGAUCCGCUUGUGCUUUGACGCCGGUCUGCUGGUCUUUGGUUAAAAAAUGCCAGAUUCUUUAUGCAUGGUCAAGCAGCUGAUAGCAAUGAAAGUAAAAGCAGCGGGAGAUGCAAGUUUUUCUUGACUGGCAGGUAGCUGAUGUUUUUCUCUCUUCCUCUAAUAACCUGAAUCCAUUAAAAAAAGAAAACAUAAUUUCUCUUACUAUAGUUGUUUAUUUUACUUGCCAAAGGUCCUAACCACAAUAAAAGAAGUCGAUAGCUAGCUACCUCUUGUUUGGCUGGUAGUGGUGUUCCCUGAGUAAUGCAGGCAUGAUUGCGAUUGUAGGAGCCUUAGGGAUUGUUCACUUCAUCGCCGCUUGCAACCCUACAAAUUUUUUUUGUUCCCAAAUUUUGCUAAUUUAACAAGCUAAAUAUGUUCUUACUAUCUCUACCCUACCAAAAUUACCUAUUUUCUUAUUUUCAAAUUUUGGCCCAACUAGCUCCUACCAUUUCUAACUUUCAUUUCUUACUAAUUUAAUUAACACUAUGAUUAUGUUGGACUACUACCAUUUCUAACUUUCAUCUCUUAUUAAUUAACAUUAUGAUUAUGUUGGAAAUACAUACCUGUUUAACAUGUAGUUGCCAGGUCAACAAUGAUGCCUUUGUUUUAAAGAUUCUAGAUUCGAACCGAAGCUACAUCAAGUUACAAACUAGGCCUCUUGCAGUAUAUGAUCAAGAAUAAGUUCCACUUUCAUGACAUCAAAUUUGUAUUUCAACUGGGGAAAGUAUUUCAUCUAUGCGACCAAUGAGGCAUAUAUCUAUGCUUUUGACUUCAAAUUCAACCUGCUAAAGAUUCAUUGGAUUGACUUGAGCAUCAAAAUUAGUGUAAUUAGCAAAGCAUUGCUGAGAAUCAUUCAUGUUAUAUAUUUUGCACCAAAAUUUGUAUCAUGUUAUUGCUUACUAUUAUAAUGAAGCGGUUGUCCUAAGUGACAUUGAGAAUCAGUGUUAUUUGUAAUAACAACUAGAUCAUAUCCAUGGUGCUUCUUGUUACAAGAAAUUGAUGAUCAAUUUUUAUUAA